GGUGUGCGUCUGCUCUUUAAAAGCUCUCCUCACUGCGUUUUCUUCCUCCCCCCCCUCCUCCUCCUCCUCUCUGAAGCAUUGACCUUCCUUCGACACACAAGCCUCCUCCUCCCUACUCGGAGAGAGCACCUGCAGUUCCUCUGGGAGUGCACGCAUCACAAGUGGCCUGGCUGUGUCAGAGUCGCAGAGCCGAGCGCAGGUACGAGCUCGCUGACAGAGAUCAGCCCUCCACGGCCCAGUCAUCAGCCCACAGCCCCACGCAGCAGCAGCAGCAGCAGCAGCAGCAGCAAUCCCAGCUGGAGUGGGUGUGUCAUCAGAGUGGGACAGAGCGGGUGUACAUCAAUCACCGUGAACACUAUGUGUGAGACACAGCACCAGCCUGAGCCUCUCCCAUGACUCAGGACUUCACCUGUUUCACUCAGAUUGAUAGGAUCCAACCACACAAGUGAACGACAUUCUGUCCUCACAGGUAGUUCUGACACAACUUUCAACUUUUUCAGAAACUUUUAUUUUAAACUACUUCACUGUCCUGUCUGUACGUCGACACAUUUUAUUAAAAUAGGUCCAACGUGUUGACAGAUGAUCCUUUUUUACUUCUUUAAACUCAAUUUAUUAUAUUUCUAGUGCGCUAUCACUUGAGAUAAAUACCUAAUGAAUUAAAGAAAAAAAAAAAAUCGGAUUAAAGUUUACUCAGGAUCCAAACGUUUAUUCAGGAGAUUAACUUUUUUUUUUUUUUUGUGGCUUUUUUUGCUUUUUAUCUGCAUAAGCCUAAUGAAUAUUUGGGCAGUGACAUAAUAAUCAGCCUUUCAGCUCUGUGUACAAGGCUGGAAGAGAUAAGAGAAUCAAAGCAGACUUUCAGCCUUGAUUUAGGAUUUAGGGGUUAUUUACAGUCAAGUCAGGUGAGCAAUGUAGAAGUUGGAAAUUAAACAUUCAGUCUUAGUAAAUAGUGUUUCUAUUUGGCAUAUUGGUUUGUGUCCAGGCCUCUCAGGGCAGAGACACAGACAUCUCUGCCUUUGUUAGCUCUGUGAUAGGUUGGCAUCCUAUUAGAGGGCGUUUCCUUAUGUUUACUCUGCUCUGCACCUGAUCUCAGCUCAGAUAAGCUCCAGUAACCUCUGCAACCUUGUAAUAAUAGAAUGAGUUGGUAGAAAGGACACAGAACCCAAGACAACAUGUACAUUUAUAUCUGAUAAAUUCAUUAAGUGCAACGUUGAAAAGAAAGUUUUUAGUUUUGAAUCCUCAACAUCAUUUAUAGUAAAGUCAAUAACCCAGAGACAUUGUGUUCUGUAAAAAAAAAAAAAAAACAUCCAAGAACACAUUGUGAUAUAUUUACAGUGAUGGAAAGGCAGUGAUAUGGAAAAGGCUGUUGCAGAGGCUCAGUGUUUGCAGCACACAGUGAUGGAUGGAGUGAAGAUGCUCUCAGUGAUGGCAGUGCAGAAGUUCACCAUCAGCUCAGAAACUAAGAACAGCGUGUUCCCUCUUUGAUUUCUAUUUAACUUCAUUUUGCCUGACUGACUCCGCCUUUGCAGGAUAUUCCAUCCUCUUCUUUUCUUCGAGAAACAUUUCGGUCACUUUAACAGAAUUCGUCAAGUCAUUGUCCUCAUAUUCAGGUUCAUACGACGACUUUAGUCUCAGUCCCAGGCCUAUACCUUCAGAUCUUGAGCGGUUCAUUAUUACGUUUGUGUUCCGUUUGUGUCCUUCUCACACUCAUGUUUCACACCUCCACCCUAUUGUCAGACUUAAUAUUGAAAGGUGACCUUCCCAGAAUUCCAACAUGAAUGAAUUUUAGAUUAUUCACUGUUCCUUGUGCAUGAAAUAACAUUGAAAUUAUUGCACACAACUUUUUUCCCAUUACUUCUUUUAAGAAUAGAGACCAGGGUGAAAUGCAUUGUUUACGUUCUCAUCUUUAAAGCAGAUAGUAAUUGUUUAGUUUAAAUUCUAUUGCAGUUAAUUUAUUCAAAUAAAUAUAUACAUUUUGAAGCUAUACA
rnacentral:lncRNA from 1 species